rnacentral:rRNA from 1 species
AACGAACGCUGGCGGCAUGCCUAACACAUGCAAGUCGAACGAGACCUUCGGGUCUAGUGGCGCACGGGUGCGUAACGCGUGGGAACCUGCCCUUAGGUUCGGAAUAACUCCCCGAAAGGGGUGCUAAUACCGGAUAAUGUCUUCGGACCAAAGAUUUAUCGCCUUUGGAUGGGCCCGCGUUGGAUUAGCUAGUUGGUAGGGUAAAAGCCUACCAAGGCGACGAUCCAUAGCUGGUCUGAGAGGAUGAUCAGCCACACUGGGACUGAGACACGGCCCAGACUCCUACGGGAGGGAGCAAUUGGGGAUAUUGGACAAUGGGCGAAAGCCUGAUCCAGCAAUGCCGCGUGAGUGAUGAAGGCCUUAGGGUUGUAAAGCUCUUUUACCCGGGAUGAUAAUGACAGUACCGGGAGAAUAAGCUCCGGCUAACUCCGUG